GCUGCAUCUAGUAGCCACC
rnacentral:snRNA from 1 species